AUGGUUAAGUUAGAAAGGGCGCACGGUGAAUGCCUUGGCACUAGGAGCCGAUGAAGGACGGGACUAACACCGAUAUGCUUCGGGGAGCUGUAAGUGAGCUUUGAUCCGGAGAUUUCCGAAUGGGGAAACCCACUGUUCGUAAUGGAACAGUAUCUUUAUCUGAAUACAUAGGAUAUUGAAGGCAGACCCGGGGAACUGAAACAUCUAAGUACCCGGAGGAAGAGAAAGCAAAUGCGAUUUCCUGAGUAGCGGCGAGCGAAACGGAAUUAGCCCAAACCAAGAGGCUUGCCUCUUGGGGUUGUAGGACACUCUAUACGGAGUUACAAAGGAACGAAGUAAAUGAAGCGACCUGGAAAGGUCCGUCGAAGAAGGUAACAACCCUGUAGUUGAAACUUCGUUCCCUCUUGAGUGGAUCCUGAGUACGGCGGAACACGUGAAAUUCCGUCGGAAGCUGGGAGGACCAUCUCCCAAGGCUAAAUACUACCUAGUGACCGAUAGUGAACCAGUACCGUGAGGGAAAGGUGAAAAGCACCCCGGAAGGGGAGUGAAAGAGAUCCUGAAACCGUGUGCCUACAAGUAGUCAGAGCCCGUUAAUGGGUGAUGGCGUGCCUUUUGUAGAAUGAACCGGCGAGUUACGAUCCCAUGCAAGGUUAAGCUGAUAAGGCGGAGCCGUAGCGAAAGCGAGUCUGAAUAGGGCGUUUAGUAUGUGGUUGUAGACCCGAAACCAGGUGAUCUACCCAUGUCCAGGGUGAAGUUCAGGUAACACUGAAUGGAGGCCCGAACCCACGCACGUUGAAAAGUGCGGGGAUGAGGUGUGGGUAGCGGAGAAAUUCCAAUCGAACCUGGAGAUAGCUGGUUCUCUCCGAAAUAGCUUUAGGGCUAGCCUCAUGUUGUGAGAGUCUUGGAGGUAGAGCACUGAUUGGACUAGGGGCCCCCAACGGGUUACCGAAUUCAGUCAAACUCCGAAUGCCAAAGACUUAUCCAUGGGAGUCAGACUGCGAGUGAUAAGAUCCGUAGUCAAAAGGGAAACAGCCCAGACCACCAGCUAAGGUCCCCAAGUAUACGUUAAGUGGAAAAGGAUGUGGAGUUGCUUAGACAACCAGGAUGUUGGCUUAGAAGCAGCCACCAUUUAAAGAGUGCGUAAUAGCUCACUGGUCGAGUGACUCUGCGCCGAAAAUGUACCGGGGCUAAACGUAUCACCGAAGCUGUGGAUUGACAUCUUUGAUGUCAGUGGUAGGAGAGCGUUCUAAGUGCUGUGAAGUCAGACCGUAAGGACUGGUGGAGCGCUUAGAAGUGAGAAUGCCGGUAUGAGUAGCGAAAGACAAGUGAGAAUCUUGUCCACCGAAUGCCUAAGGUUUCCUGAGGAAGGCUCGUCCGCUCAGGGUUAGUCGGGACCUAAGCCGAGGCUGAAAAGCGUAGGCGAUGGCCAACAGGUUGAUAUUCCUGUACCACCUCCCCGCCGUUUGAGUAAUGGGGGGACGCAGUAGGAUAGGGUAAGCGCGCUGCUGGAUAUGCGCGUUCAAGCAGUUAGGCUGAUGAGUAGGCAAAUCCGCUCAUCAUAAAGGCUGAGCUGUGAUGACGAGGGAAUUAUAGUACCGAAGUUCCUGAUUCCACACUGCCAAGAAAAGCCUCUAGCGAGGCGGGAGGUGCCCGUACCGCAAACCGACACAGGUAGGCGAGGAGAGAAUCCUAAGGUGAUCGAGAGAACUCUCGUUAAGGAACUCGGCAAAAUGACCCCGUAACUUCGGGAGAAGGGGUGCUCUGGUAGGGUGUAUAGCCCGAGAGAGCCGCAGUGAAUAGGCCCAGGCGACUGUUUAGCAAAAACACAGGUCUCUGCGAAGCCGCAAGGCGAAGUAUAGGGGCUGACGCCUGCCCGGUGCUGGAAGGUUAAGAGGAGGGGUUAUCCUUUGGGAGAAGCUCUGAAUCGAAGCCCCAGUAAACGGCGGCCGUAACUAUAACGGUCCUAAGGUAGCGAAAUUCCUUGUCGGGUAAGUUCCGACCCGCACGAAAGGCGUAACGAUCUGGGCACUGUCUCAACGAGAGACUCGGUGAAAUUAUAGUACCUGUGAAGAUGCAGGUUACCCGCGACAGGACGGAAAGACCCCGUGGAGCUUUACUGUAGCCUGAUAUUGAAUUUUGGUACAGCUUGUACAGGAUAGGUAGGAGCCUGAGAAGCCGGAGCGCUAGCUUCGGUGGAGGCGUCGGUGGGAUACUACCCUGGCUGUAUUGAAAUUCUAACCCGCGGCCCUGAUCGGGCCGGGAGACAGUGUCAGGUGGGCAGUUUGACUGGGGCGGUCGCCUCCUAAAAUGUAACGGAGGCGCCCAAAGGUUCCCUCAGAAUGGUUGGAAAUCAUUCGUAGAGUGUAAAGGCACAAGGGAGCUUGACUGCGAGACCUACAAGUCGAGCAGGGACGAAAGUCGGGCUUAGUGAUCCGGUGGUUCCGCAUGGAAGGGCCAUCGCUCAACGGAUAAAAGCUACCCCGGGGAUAACAGGCUUAUCUCCCCCAAGAGUCCACAUCGACGGGGAGGUUUGGCACCUCGAUGUCGGCUCAUCGCAUCCUGGGGCUGUAGUCGGUCCCAAGGGUUGGGCUGUUCGCCCAUUAAAGCGGUACGCGAGCUGGGUUCAGAACGUCGUGAGACAGUUCGGUCCCUAUCCGUCGUGGGCGUAGGAAAUUUGAGAGGAGCUGUCCUUAGUACGAGAGGACCGGGAUGGACACACCGCUGGUGUACCAGUUGUCUUGCCAAAGGCAUCGCUGGGUAGCUAUGUGUGGACGGGAUAAGUGCUGAAAGCAUCUAAGCAUGAAGCCCCCCUCAAGAUGAGAUUUCCCAUAGCGCAAGCUAGUAAGAUCCCUGAAAGAUGAUCAGGUUGAUAGGUCAGAGGUGGAAGCGUGGCGACAUGUGUAGCUGACUGAUACUAAUCGAUCGAGGACUUAACCAAAC
rnacentral:rRNA from 4 species